UUCGAAUAGCAUGCUAUUCGAGAUAUCACGAUAUUAUGUGAAUAUGAUAUUGAAUGAGAAAUAUGCCAAUAUUCUUAUUUGGUAUUAGAUAUUGAUUUUUUAAGUCCAAUUACAUUCCUACCAUCCCUAAUCUAACCGAAAACCCAAAUCACAAAGUGCCAAAGCCUAUUUAUCCCACACCUUAAAUCUCUAGUCUUCUUUUUUCUUUAGCUCUUCCAAAAUAGAUGAAUUGAAACAAACAAGAAAAUAAAAUACCCCUGUUUUAACAAUCUCUUCCAAAAUCGAUGUUGCUCUGUAAUCUUUGAUAAUAUGCGAAGUCCUUCAUGUUUUCAUAAUUGUCCAAUCUAUCUCAUGUUGGUAUGUGAAGUUAUUGUUGUGCCCUGUUUCUUGAACUCAUCAUCAUCUCCAUAAUUCCAUCUUCUCUUAUAUUGGAAAAAUUAUAAAACAACAACCCAUAUCCUAGAUUCAAAAUAUAAAAUACGAAAUUGACAAUUAAUUAUGAAUUACAAUAGAUAUUCUUCCAUGAUUCUGCCAUCGUUGUCGAUCGUUUCUAUGAGCAUGUCGUCACUGGAGCAUCCUUGCAUCAGCCAUCAUCACGGUUCCUCUGUAAAAAAACCAGGUAAGCUGCCGGAGAAUGAAUUGCUAUCGAAAAAUGAACCCUAGAUCGAGAAACAAUUUGUAAGAGGAGGAGAAGAGAAUCAAGAUGUUAAUGGAAGAGAACCAACUAAUCGAUGAGAUCAGAUUACCUGUCGUCGACUGCAAAUAUUAUCUUCUCCCAACUUCCGUCGAGUCCAAAGUGGAGGACUAGUCAGCAAUCAUCUUUUAGAUCUCAAUUUCCUUCAUCUUCUUCCAUCGCAGAUAACACGAGAUGGUUAUGAAGGAGAGAUCGAAGAGAGAGGGAGAUGUCAUUACAGGAGAAAGAGGAUGUAGGUGGUGAUGAGAGAAGCGGAGACAUAAUUAUUACACGUCGAGACAGGUAGGGAAAGUUGGGCAUGGUUGAUGACGUGUUCUGUAUCUG
rnacentral:lncRNA from 1 species